GCAGACGUACCCAAGUGGUUACGGGGUUGCACUCGAAAUGCAUUGGGCCCUGCCCGCGCAGGUUCAAAUCCUGCCGUCUGCG